ACUCCUGCGGGAGGCAGCAGUAGGGAAUCUUCGGCAAUGGGGGCAACCCUGACCGAGCAACGCCGCGUGAGUGAAGAAGGUUUUCGGAUCGUAAAGCUCUGUUGUAAGUCAAGAACGAGUGUGAGAGUGGAAAGUUCACACUGUGACGGUAGCUUACCAGAAAGGGACGGCUAACUACGUGCCAGCAGCCGCGGUAAUACGUAGGUCCCGAGCGUUGUCCGGAUUUAUUGGGCGUAAAGCGAGCGCAGGCGGUUUGAUAAGUCUGAAGUUAAAGGCUGUGGCUCAACCAUAGUUCGCUUUGGAAACUGUCAAACUUGAGUGCAGAAGGGGAGAGUGGAAUUCCAUGUGUAGCGGUGAAAUGCGUAGAUAUAUGGAGGAACACCGGUGGCGAAAGCGGCUCUCUGGUCUGUAACUGACGCUGAGGCUCGAAAGCGUGGGGAGCGAACAGGAUUAGAUACCCCUGUAGUCCCAUG
rnacentral:rRNA from 1 species